rnacentral:rRNA from 1 species
UACGUAGGGUGCAAGCGUUGUCCGGAAUUAUUGGGCGUAAAGCGCACGUAGGCGGUUCGUUAAGUCAGAUGUGAAAGCCCUGGGCUCAACCCAGGAAGUGCAUUUGAAACUGGCGAGCUUGAGUAUGGAAGAGGGUCGCGGAAUUCCCGGUGUAGAGGUGAAAUUCGUAGAUAUCCGCAGGAACAUCCGAGGCGAAAGCGGCUCGCUGGAUCACAACUGACGCUGAGGGACGAAAGCUAGGGGAGCAAACAGG